rnacentral:rRNA from 1 species
AAUUUAAUUUAUGAAUUAAAUUUUUUAGUCAAAAAGCUAAAAUAUUUUUAUUGGACGAGAAGACCCUAUAAAUCUUUACAGGUCAUUAAAUUUAAUAAUUUGGGGAAUUACUUAUUUUUAAUUAAUUUCUUGUUUGGUUGGGGUGAUUGUAAAAUUUUAUGAACUUCUAUUGUUUAGUUUUCAAUAAUUAUUGUUUUAUUGAUCCAUAUAUAAUGAUUAAAAAAUUAAGUUACCUUAGGGAUAACAGCGUAAUUCUUUCGGAAAGUUCAUAUUGAUGAAGGA